UGUGAGGCUGAUGUGUAGGCAAAUCCGCACAUCAAUAAGGCUGGGCUGUGAUGGGGAGCGAAAAUUGCAGUAGCGAAGGUCAUGAGUUCAGGUUGCCAAGAAAAGCCUCUAGCCAGGUGAAGGUGCCCGUACCGCAAACCGACACAGGUAGGCGAGCAGAGUAUGCUAAGGCGCUCGGAAGAACUCUCGUUAAGGAACUCGGCAAAAUGACCCCGUAACUUCGGGAGAAGGGGUGCCUCGGUAGGGUGAAUAGCCCGAGGGGGCCGCAGUGAAAAGGCCCAAGCGACUGUUUAGCAAAAACACAGGUCUGUGCGAAGCCGUAAGGCGAAGUAUACGGGCUGACGCCUGCCCGGUGCUGGAAGGUUAAGGGGAGUGGUUAGCCGCAAGGCGAAGCUAUGAACCGAAGCCCCAGUAAACGGCGGCCGUAACAAUAACGGUCCUAAGGUAGCGAAAUUCCUUGUCAGGUAAAUUCUGACCCGCACGAAUGGCGUAACGACUUGGGCGCUGUCUCAACGAGAGAUCCGGUGAAAUUUUAAUACCUGUGAAGAUGCAGGUUACCCGCGACAAGACGGAAAGACCCCAUGGAGCUUUACUGCAGCUUGAUAUUGGACUUUGGUACGAUCUGUACAGGAUAGGUGGGAGCCUUGGAAGCCGGAGCGCCAGCUUCGGCGGAGGCAUCGUUGGGAUACCACCCUGAUCGUAUCGGAGUUCUAACCUGGUACCGUGAUCCGGUACAGGGACCGUGUCAGGUGGGCAGUUUGACUGGGGCGGUCGCCUCCUAAAAUGUAACGGAGGCGCCCAAAGGUUCCCUCAGAAUGGUUGGAAAUCAUUCGUAGCGUGCAAAGGCAUAAGGGAGCUUGACUGCGAGACCUACAAGUCGAGCAGGGACGAAAGUCGGGCUUAGUGAUCCGGUGGUACCGCAUGGAAGGGCCAUCGCUCAACGGAUAAAAGCUACCCUGGGAUAACAGGCUUAUCUCCCCCAAGAGUCCACAUCGACGGGGAGGUUUGGCACCUCGAUGUCGGCUCAUCGCAUCCUGGGGCUGAAGUAGGUCCCAAGGGUUGGGCUGUUCGCCCAUUAAAGCGGUACGCGAGCUGGGUUCAGAACGUCGUGAGACAGUUCGGUCCCUAUCUGUCGUGGGCGUAGGAAAUUUGAGAGGAGCUGUCCUUAGUACGAGAGGACCGGGAUGGACGCACCGCUGGUGUACCAGUUGUUCCGCCAGGAGCAUAGCUGGGUAGCUACGUGCGGACGGGAUAAGCGCUGAAAGCAUCUAAGCGUGAAGCCCCCCUCAAGAUGAGAUUUCCCAGUAUGUAAGACCCCUGGAAGACGACCAGGUUGAUAGGUUCGAGGUGGAAGCGCAGCAAUGUGUGGAGCUGACGAAUACUAAUCGGUCGAGGGCUUAUCC
rnacentral:rRNA from 1 species